rnacentral:rRNA from 1 species
ACGGUAGAGAGAAGCUUGCUUCUCUUGAGAGCGGCGGACGGGUGAGUAAUACCUAGGAAUCUGCCUGGUAGUGGGGGAUAACGUUCGGAAACGGACGCUAAUACCGCAUACGUCCUACGGGAGAAAGCAGGGGACCUUCGGGCCUUGCGCUAUCAGAUGAGCCUAGGUCGGAUUAGCUAGUUGGUGAGGUAAUGGCUCACCAAGGCUACGAUCCGUAACUGGUCUGAGAGGAUGAUCAGUCACACUGGAACUGAGACACGGUCCAGACUCCUACGGGAGGCAGCAGUGGGGAAUAUUGGACAAUGGGCGAAAGCCUGAUCCAGCCAUGCCGCGUGUGUGAAGAAGGUCUUCGGAUUGUAAAGCACUUUAAGUUGGGAGGAAGGGCAGUAAAUUAAUACUUUGCUGCUUUGACGUUACCGACAGAAUAAGCACCGGCUAACUCUGUGCCAGCAGCCGCGGUAAUACAGAGGGUGCAAGCGUUAAUCGGAAUUACUGGGCGUAAAGCGCGCGUAGGUGGUUUGUUAAGUUGGAUGUGAAAUCCCCGGGCUCAACCUGGGAACUGCAUCCAAAACUGGCAAGCUAGAGUAUGGUAGAGGGUAGUGGAAUUUCCUGUGUAGCGGUGAAAUGCGUAGAUAUAGGAAGGAACACCAGUGGCGAAGGCGACUACCUGGACUGAUACUGACACUGAGGUGCGAAAGCGUGGGGGAGCAAACAGGAUUAGAUAUGCCUGGUAGUCCACGCCGUAAACGAUGUCAACUAGCCGUUGGGAGUCUUGAACUCUUAGUGGCGCAGCUAACGCAUUAAGUUGACCGCCUGGGGAGUACGGCCGCAAGGUUAAAACUCAAAUGAAUUGACGGGGGCCCGCACAAAGCGGUGGAGCAUGUGGUUUAAUUCGAAGUAACGCGAAGAACCUUACCAGGCCUUGACAUCCAAUGAACUUUGCGUAGAGAAUAGAUUGGGUGCCCUUCCGGGAAACAAUG